GACGAACGCUGGCGGCGCGCCUAACACAUGCAAGUCGAACGAGCGAGAGAGAGCUUGCUUUCUCGAGCGAGUGGCGAACGGGUGAGUAACGCGUGAGGAACCUGCCUCAAAGAGGGGGACAACAGUUGGAAACGACUGCUAAUACCGCAUAAGCCCACGGGUCGGCAUCGACCAGAGGGAAAAGGAGCAAUCCGCUUUGAGAUGGCCUCGCGUCCGAUUAGCUAGUUGGUGAGGUAACGGCCCACCAAGGCGACGAUCGGUAGCCGGACUGAGAGGUUGAACGGCCACAUUGGGACUGAGACACGGCCCAGACUCCUACGGGAGGCAGCAGUGGGGAAUAUUGCACAAUGGGGGAAACCCUGAUGCAGCGACGCCGCGUGGAGGAAGAAGGUCUUCGGAUUGUAAACUCCUGUUGUUGGGGAAGAUAAUGACGGUACCCAACAAGGAAGUGACGGCUAACUACGUGCCAGCCGCCGCAGUAA
rnacentral:rRNA from 1 species